rnacentral:rRNA from 1 species
CGGAACACGUACGCAACCUUCCUUUAACUGGAGAAUAGCCCCUCGAAAGAGGGAUUAAUACUCCGUAACAUGAUGAUAAGGCAUCUUAUUAUCAUUAUAGCUCCGGCGGUUAAUGAUGGGCGUGCGCCUGAUUAGGUAGUUGGCGGGGUAACGGCCCACCAAGUCUGCGAUCAGUAACUGGUGUGAGAGCACGACCAGUCACACGGGCACUGAGACACGGGCCCG